AUGGAGACUGGAAAACACAUCUUCUGCAGACAACCACCAACUUAUGGCAACCUCAUCACAAUUCUCUCGAUCGAUGGUGGAGGGAUUCGAGGAAUCAUUCCAGCUGUUGCUCUUGCCUUUCUAGAAUCAGAGUUGCAGAAACUUGAUGGAGAGGAAGCCCGGUUAGCAGACUACUUUGAUGUCAUUGCUGGGACCAGCACAGGGGGACUUGUGACUGCGGUGCUCACUGCACCAAAUAAGAAGAGAAGACCACUUUUUGCGGCGAAGGAUAUUCAAGCAUUUUAUAUGAACCAUGCUCCCAGAAUUUUCCCACAGCUCAGGGGUGCAUUUGGUAGGAUAAUGGGGAUACUUCGCUCAUUGUCAGGACCUUAUUAUGAUGGUAAGUACCUUCAUGAAGUUGUGAGAAAGAAGUUAGGAAGUGCCAGGCUGCAUCAGACGUUAACAAAUGUGGUAAUACCAACUUUUGACAUCAAGCGGCUACAACCAACCAUUUUUUCGUCGUAUGAGGUUAAGACGAAGAAGAAGAAAAACACAAUGAAUGCUUUGUUAUCAGAUAUUUGCAUCAGCACAUCCGCUGCUCCAACUUAUUUGCCUGCGCAUUACUUCAAGACUGAAGAUUCUCAUGGAAACAUCAAGGAGUUUAAUCUUAUUGAUGGGGGAGUAGCUGCCAAUAAUCCGGCCUUAGUUGCCAUUGGAGAAGUAAGCAAGCAGAUAUUCAAGCAAGAUCCAGAUUUCUUCCCAAUAAAACCUAUGGACUAUGGCCGGUUUUUGGUCAUUUCACUUGGCACAGGCUCAUCAAAAUUUGAAGAGAAGUACGAUGCACAAAAGGCUAAAUCAUGGGGAGUGUUGGAUUGGUUACUUAGCAGUGGAUCUACACCAUUAGUAGAUAUUUUCACACGGGCAAGUGCAGAUAUGGUGGAUAUUCACAUUGCUUCUGUUUUCAAAGCCUUACAUUCGGAGCAGAACUAUCUGAGAAUUCAAGAUGAUAACCUACGGGGGACACUCUCCUCAGUUGAUGUUGCCACCAAGGAUAACUUGGAGAAACUUGUCAAUGUUGGAGAGAUGCUGCUAAAGAAACCUGUCUCACGGGCAAAUUUGGAGACUGGCCAAAUGGUGCCUGCUUGCAGUGACAUAGAGGAGACCAAUGAGGAAGCACUCAAGAGAUUUGCAAAGCUGUUGUCUGAUGAAAAGCAAAUUCGCCAAGCAAGAUCGCCAUAA
rnacentral:rRNA from 1 species